AUCGAACGCUGGCGGCAGGCCUAACACAUGCAAGUCGAGCGAGCGGCGGACGGGUGAGUAAUGUAUGGGGACUGCCCGAUAGAGGGGGAUAACUACUGGAAACGGUAGCUAAUACCGCAUACUAUCGGAUAACCCAUAUGGGAUUAGCUAGUUGGUGAGGUAAUGGCUCACCAAGGCGACGAUCCCUAGCUGGUCUGAGAGGCUGAUCAGCCACACUGGGACUGAGACACGGCCCGAACUCCUGCGGAGGCAGCAGUGUGGAAUCUUGCACAAGGGGCGCAGGCCUGAUGCGUCCAUGCCACGUGUAUGAAGAAGGCCCUAGGUUUGUAAAGUACUUUCGGUCGGGAGACGUUACCGACAGAAGAAGCGCCGGCUAACUCCGUGCCAGCAGCCGCGGUAAUUC
rnacentral:rRNA from 1 species